GGCUGAAGGCGGCACUAACCGCUGCGCCACCGGGGCUGCCCAGCACAUGACUCUUGAUUUCAGAAUGAAGAAAAAUAUAAAUACAGAAAAAUCCUUGGAAGAGAAGAUGGCUAAUAUGGAAAAGAGAACGAACAUCCUACCUAAACAAUCACAGCUAUAUAUAUCAGUCAGAAUUCUCUCAGCACACAGAUGGCACAAUUUGGAAUAAUUCAAAGAAAGUUAAUAUACAAAGACACUAUUCAUAAAAGUGAGGGUGAAGAGAAACCACAAGGAACAAUACAAUAACCCAGGGCUAAUACCAGUAGAGCUCUUAUUGUCCUUUUGGUCAUAGGUUUGAGUAAAGGGGGGUUAUUUACUGUACUAUCAGAAGAGAAUAGUGUAGAAAAUGUUUCCAGUAUAGAAACAUAGAUAGCGUAAGGUGCCCUAACAGUGAGGGAACCACAGGGAUAAAUACCUUGGCUACAUACUCUAUUUUUCUGAUAUAUUUGAAGGGCUGUCUUCAUUAGUAGAAAUUGACCAGGUGCCAGAGGAUUAUUUUACUCAUAAAAUCCAGAAAAUCAGUUUUCUAAGGUCAAAAGCAAAGUAGACUUAAGAGUGGAUUUGGAAGGGCAAAUGGAGGACAUAAUAGUGUCCUAUAGGAAUAAAGAAAUGUAAAAAAAAAAAAAAAAAAAAAAAGGAAUAAAUGUAAGUAUCUGCCUUUCUACUGAAGUCCAUUCACAAUUAUUAUAAUUAUUGACAGUGCUGUAUUUUUCAUCAUUAUAUUUGUUUUUUAAAAUGUCCUUCUUGAUCUUCUAUUACUCCUUUGAGGUCUUAUAUGUUAAAUAUAUAUAAUUUCAUUGUAACAAUGUAAUUCCACUUUUGAUUAGGUUAUUACAUUUCGUUUAAAGUUUCUUUAUACUGGGAUCCCUGGGUGGCGCAGUGGUUUGGCGCCUGCCUUUGGCCCAGGGCGCGAUCCUGGAGACCCGGGAUCGAAUCCCAUGUCGGGCUCCUGAUGCAUGGAGCCUGCUUCUCCCUCUGCCUGUGUCUCUGCCUCUCUCUCUCUCUCUGUGUGUGUGACUAUCAUAAAUAAAUAAAUAAAUUUAAAAAAAAAAUAAAGUUUCUUUAUAGUCAUUGCUUUAGGGGUUACAAAAUGAAUCUUUAAUUUAUGAAAAUGUACUUCAGAUAAAUACUGACUUUACUACAGAAAAUUGCUCCUAUAUGUUCCAUUUUUUUCCAUCAUUGUUAGUACUAGUAAUGUAAAUUAUAUUACUUUUAUGUAUGUUCUAUACUCAACAACAAAAUACUGUAAUUACUGCUUUCAAUUACUUUUAUAGUGGUUUUUGAAGAAAUUAAGAAAACAAAAGUAUCAGUCUUUUAUUGUUUACCCACAUAUAUACACCAUUUCUGGUACUCUUUAUUCCUUCAUGUGGAUCUGACUUACUGUUAACUAUUAUUACUAUUAUUUCUUUUAGCCUGAAGAACUUUAUUAAUGCUAGUAGUGCCUGUUAGCAACAAAAGCUUAGUUUUUUUGUUUUCUUAAGAAUGUCUUUUACUUUCAUUUCUGAAAGAUAAUUUUACGUGAUAUAGAGUUCUACAGUUGUCAGUGCCUUUCCCAAACUCAAGUCCAAGACUGAAUAUGUCAUUACAUUGUCUUCUCAUUGCCAGGUUUUCUUUUUCUUUCUUUUUUUUUUUUUUUUCAAGAUUUUAUUUAUUCAUUCAUGAGAGACAGACAGGCAGACACAUAGGCAAAGGGAGAAGCAGGCUCCUUGUGAAAAGCCGAUGUGGGACUCAAUCCCUGGACCCUAGUGAGCCAAAGGCAGAUCCUCAACCAUUGAGGCACCCAGGUGCCCCUACCACCAGGGUUUCUGAUUAGAGAGAUUAGCUAUGAAUUGUAUUGUUGCUCCCUUAUUCAUAGGUUGUUUUUCUCUUCUUUCUAGAGUUCUUUUUGACUUUGACUUUAAACAGUUCCAUUACAUUCAAGUAUGGUUCUGUUUUUUUCACACUUUGGAUUUGUUGAGCUUCUCCAAACUGUAGAUUAAUAUUCUUAUCAAAUUGAGAGGUCUUUUUAUUAUUUAUUGCUUUAAUUUUUCCUGCCUACUUUACUUGUCCUCUUUUUCUAGGAUACCCAUUACAUGUAUAUAGGGAUACGUCACACUGUUCCACAGUUCUUUGAGAUGUUGAUUUUUCUUCAAUCAUUGUCUCUUUAUUCCUUACAUAGGGUACUUUCAAAUGAUUUUCAAGUUCACUGAUUCUUCUUAUUGCUGUCUAUAUGAACUUGCCUAUUGUAGGUUCCUUAUAUAAGAGGAAUAAUAAAAUCCUGGUUCUUUGUGUUUGAA